rnacentral:rRNA from 1 species
AACGGCCGUACCAUGCUGAAUAUACCGGUUCUCGUUAGAUCACCGAAGUCAACCAUCAUUGGGCGCGGUCAGUACUUGGGUGGGUGACCACCUGGGAACACUGCGUGCCGUU